UCCUCACCGCGGCGCCGCCCUCGCCCAGCCAAGCAGGCAGGAAGACUACCGCUCCCGGCGAGCCAAGCGGCGGCGCGCUCCUUCAAAGCUGAAGGGGUCCACUCGCGAGGCACGACGGGAAAUAGAGUCCCGGAGACUGAGGAAAAGAGGGAGGGGCUCAGCCUUCUGGGAAGUGUAGUUGGCGCUCCCUCCUCCCCCUCCUGUCGCUGUGCUUGCCUUUGGACUACUUCCCUUCCGCCUCUUCUUGCCGCAGUGCGUUCUGGGAAGGCGCAGAGGCGGCUCGGCCUGCGAGAGGGAAGGAGUCCCACUUCCUUUUAUACUUGGACUGUACCACUUCGGGCGGCAGGGGGAGCUCUCAUGGGCGCGGCUGAUCCGCCUCGGAAAAGGAUUCCGGGGCAAUGGUUCGGGCCGACAGCAUUGUUGCUUCACUCGCUCUUCUUAUGUUGUUGCUACAGCCCAGGCAUGAGCAAACUUGGGCCCUUCCGCCAGGUGUUUUGGACUUCAACCCCCACCUUUCCUAACAACCUCAGGCCCCUUCUUAAGCGACUGAGGGGGAAAGGAAGGGGCCUGAGGCUGUUAGGAAUGGUGGCAGUUGAAGUCCAAAACACCUGGAGGAAGGGCCUAGGUUUGCCCAGGCCUGUUCUAGAGUGUGAGUGAAGGUUGAAUGAGUGAGGAUUACAAAUCUAUUUUUGAACAAAGUGUGUAGCCACCAUCAAUGAGCAGGUUUUGGUUCUCUCUUUAAAACCACCUACAUUUUAACAGAGCUGUGUUUAUUUCAUUGCAGUCCCUUACUGCACAUCAGAAUGUCAAAAAGAUUGUGUUAUGAAGCCGCAUUCAAACUGAAAGUGGUUGGGUAUGCAGAUGAACGUUGAAACAGCUGUGGAUCGAUAUUUUGCCAUUCAGUGAGCCCACUUGUCGAUGGAUGUCCAGAAUCAGCAUCUACCGCAGACCGAGCCAGUAUAGACUUCGUUUUGGUUUGAUUCUCCUUAAUGCUAAUGGGUUAGGUGCUCUUAGUUCUACUCCUCAGCUGAAACCUCUCUGGCUUGGUUGGACCUACCGGUAGUUACACUACCGCCAGCACAGCUUCAGUCAUCAUUGGAGUAGUUAAGCCUCCCCACCACGGCACCUCACAACCUCUGAGGAUGCCUGCCAUAGAUGUGGGUGAAACAUCAGGAGAGAAUACUUCUAGAACAUGGCCAUACAGCCAGAAAAGCACACAACUCUGUGAUCCCAGUCAAUGAGAAAUGGCUCAUUAUGCAUAUUUAUAGUAGACACAUCAGCUGCAAUCCUUUGGUGCUCUAUGUCUUUUUCUUGGUUGCACAGCAGUGGCAGGGAAGACAAACACAAUCUGAUAGCUCUGAACACGCUUUUGUCUUCAUUGCCUGAUUUCUAUCACAAAAUGUCUGUGACAGUCUUCAUCUGGUUGCUACCUUAGCUGUGAGCUGCAAAAGUUCUCUUCACAGAAAUGUAAGCAGAUAGCGCUUCCCUUUUACACUGUACUUUUAACAAAGGUCGGAAAGUACAACAUAAUAGUAUAAUACUACUAUUAAACUUUAUAAAAUUUGGCUUGCCAAAAAUAUAAUGGUAGUGUUUUUGUAAAAACCAUGGGACUGAUUUUGUUUUGAAUAAAUGAUUCAUCCCAAUCAGCAAGAGCAGGCCGCAUUAAAAAGACUGUUUCUGCACUGGGUCAGCUUUUUGGGAUCAUCCAUGAAACCACAAAAGGACUUAUCCAGUAAAUUUUGUGGGACCAGCAGAGGGAGCUGUAGACAAAUAAGUAUAAUAUUCUAGACGCACUUUCUUAAAUCUCACCUACAACUGGAAGAAAAUGCUUUGGAUGUUGGUCCCCCUUAGUCCUUGUCUAGUUGAGAAAUAUAGCAGAAAUUCUCUAUUCCUAACAAUAGUAAAAGUAUAUGGGAUUAAUUAUCUGCAUAAACACAGCCCUAUCCCUCUGUCAGAGUGCGACAGAAGCUUUGGAGCACAGAAGAAUGGAUACUUUGAGACGUCAGUAAAAGCAAACAUAUAACUUUACUGAGUAGAGCAAAUAUACAGCACACACCAGCAUUGACAUCCAAUCUAACAGAAACAAGAUAAAAGAACACUGAAGUAAGAGGAACUAACGAAAUCUCUGAAUCCUCCCUACGUGUUCCAGGCACACUCAGGGUCACAUCUUCACAGUUCAUUAGAGGCUUGACUGAUUAACCCUUUCAGUGUCAAUACACUCUCUGCUGAUACGAUCAGAUUACAUUCACAAGCAUUGCACAAAAUUACAUUUAAACAUUCACAUUACAUUAAUCUUACAUUAACACCCUCCUGUACGUCCCCUAGUCAUUCUGAGCAAAGGAGCUUUUUCUUUCAUUAUCCAGACAGUCAAAAGGGAAAGCAUUCAUAGGCACACCCAAAUAUCAAAAUAUUUCUGCUUCUCAUCUAAGAAAAGACCAAAUAAGAUCUAGAGUAGAGAUUUAACAUUUCUGGAAAUUUGUAAGUUAUAGUGUGGAAGCCCAGUCUGUUCUCCAUCUGUUCUGGGGAGGGGUUGUUAAUUGGUCAGAAGCUUGCACCAAAAAUUCAAAAGCAUGUAUUCUAAAGCAAAAAGUACAGAAUUUCAAAGCUGCUAAGCAAAGCAGUUGAGGAAUCAAACCUUAAAACCUCACUACAAUCUUAGUUUUGUCCCCAUCUGGUAACAUAAUAAAAACUGAGUGACUCUUAUCAAGCAUGUGGACUUGCAUAGCCCACAUGUGGACUUGCAUAGCCCAUAGAGAAACACAAAA